AGCAGCCGCCACGGUAAUACGGAGGGUGCAAGCGUUAUCCGGAUUUAUUGGGUUUAAAGGGUCCGUAGGCGGACUUAUAAGUCAGUGGUGAAAGCCUGUCGCUUAACGAUAGAACUGCCAUUGAUACUGUAAGUCUUGAGUAUAUUUGAGGUAGCUGGAAUAAGUAGUGUAGCGGUGAAAUGCAUAGAUAUUACUUAGAACACCAAUUGCGAAGGCAGGUUACCAAGAUAUAACUGACGCUGAGGGACGAAAGCGUGGGUAGCGAACAGGAUUAGAUACCCCUGUAGUCCCUGUCUCUUAUAC
rnacentral:rRNA from 1 species